GACGAACGCUGGCGGCGUGCCUAAUACAUGCAAGUCGAACGAACCGCGACUAAGUGCUUGCACUAAGUCAAGGUGAGUGGCGAACGGGUGAGUAACACGUGGGUAACCUACCUCAUAGUGGGGGAUAACAGUCGGAAACGACUGCUAAUACCGCAUAGGACAUAGGAUCACAUGAUCCAGUGAGGAAAGGUGGCGCAAGCUAUCGCUAAGAGAUGGACCCGCGGUGCAUUAGCUAGUUGGUAGGGUAAAGGCCUACCAAGGCGAUGAUGCAUAGCCGACCUGAGAGGGUGAUCGGCCACAUUGGGACUGAGACACGGCCCAAACUCCUACGGGAGGCAGCAGUAGGGAAUCUUCCGCAAUGGACGCAAGUCUGACGGAGCAACGCCGCGUGAGUGAAGAAGGUCUUCGGAUCGUAAAGCUCUGUUGUUAGAGAAGAACAGCGCAUAGAGUAACUGCUAUGCGUGUGACGGUAUCUAACCAGAAAGCCAUGGCUAACUACGUG
rnacentral:rRNA from 1 species